rnacentral:rRNA from 1 species
UACGGAGGGGCUAGCGUUGUUCGGAAUUACUGGGCGUAAAGCGCACGUAGGCGGCUUUGCAAGUUAGAGGUGAAAGCCCGGGGCUCAACUCCGGAAUUGCCUUUAAAACUGCAUCGCUAGAAUUGUGGAGAGGUAAGUGGAAUUCCGAGUGUAGAGGUGAAAUUCGUAGAUAUUCGGAAGAACACCAGUGGCGAAGGCGACUUACUGGACACAUAUUGACGCUGAGGUGCGAAAGCGUGGGGAGCGAACAGG